CUGCAACAAUUGCUAAAUUAAACAAAUUACUAAAAAAAAAUAUCGAGCUGAUUAGUCUGCAUUGUUUAAUAACUAGCUAAUCUACAAUUUGUCGUCAAUAUAUACCAGAUUUAUGACGUUAAAAAUGUACAUGCAUCACUCGGAGGUGAGAUUAAUUGCAGGGAGACCGAUUAAAAAUUAAUUUCCUUGAAUUAAGCACAUUCCAUCACAGAAAAGUGAGGUGAUUUGCAUCUACACAGUUGAAUUUGCUGCUGCUUUCGAGAAAUCAUGGAACGAGUGGAAACCUUGGAUGGAUAAGUCAAACAUGCCAAUUCUACUUAUAAUUCUCCUCCUUAUUAUACAGCAAUUAAAUUAAUUUGACUUUAAUCACGAGCUCAAACUGGAGCAAAUUACACGACAAGAAAAUUACUGACUGACUACCCAGCUCCUGCAACCAACUUACAGGAGUCGUUUUAGGUACAUUUGUAUGUAUCCAACAUGGAUUUUCCAAACACUUUGAAUAUUAAAAUACUUCUUUAUAUGUAUUUAGAUAUUUAAAAAUUCGAGAAUAUUUAACACGUAUUCAAUCUUCGAUAGUUUUGUAGGUGUGGUCGACGAGAAGAACAUCGUUCGUACUAAUCAAGUUACGUUACGUUCGUUGAUCCAAUUUCCUUCAAAUUAAGUUUGGUGAGACUGUUCAGCAUACUAAUGUUUGGACUCUUCUGCACAUAAUAAUUGGACAGUGGUCAACAACAGUGAUUAGCUGACGAUUGUAAAAUCAGCAGAAAAUGUGAUAUGCUAUAUAUUUUACACACAUAAAAAUAUGCACAUUUAUUUUGCGUCUAUUUUAACUAUAGUUAGAAGAGCAAGUCCCAUUUAUAAGGUUCAUAACAAUAAAUAUACGCCAAAUAAAUCAAUUUCAUCGGCACAACUAGUGUGCCCAAAC